CUGCGGCCGUGUGGCUGUGACCAACAACAACAACAACAUCUUGUUAACAUGAGAGAAAACCCUGUCAUUUAGUGCCAUUUUAGAUAAGAUGGUGACUGCUUACAAAAGAAUUGAAGUACUCAUCACUAACAUCAGUUAAAGAUUCUUGGCCAAACGAAACAUCAAUGUCAAGCUGGCAUAUAUUCAUGGAAUCAGCAGAUCAUCCGUCUUAUGUAAUUUGACAUGCCUUCAUGAGUGCAAUCAACAAACAUAUGAUCGGUUUCAAGUCAAUAUACAACAAGAAAUAUGCAUGAAGGAUGGAUUUUGCCACAGGUCCUGGGAGCAGUGGAUGGGACUCUCAUACCCAUAAUACUGAAUACGUUAUAUGACACACAUGCAGUUGAACACAGCAGCAGAAACUCUUGAAGAAAAAAAUGUGUAUUUUUUUAUUUGAGCUUAAAUGUAAAAAAUAUAUUUAAUUUGAGCUCAACUAUACCUUGAAUAAUAAGCUGUUUAUGAAAUUAAGGAAAACAUGCAACAUCCUUAUAUCACUGUUUCUACUACAGAUUUUCAUUAAAAGCACUAUUAAUGUAUUCAGGGUCAUUAUGUUAGGUCAAUUACCAAAGUCUAUAUCUCUGACCUGCCAUUAGCUAAAUAAUGCCCCAUUUUUACGCCCCCGGAUAGAAAGAUCGGGAGU